UACGGAGGGUGCAAGCGUUGCUCGGAAUUAUUGGGCGUAAAGGGUAGGUAGGUGGUCUCGUUUGUCUGGGGUGAAAGCCUUGAGCUUAACUCAAGAAGUGCCCCAGAAACGGCGAGACUAGAGUCCUAGAGAGGGUCGUGGAAUUCCCGGUGUAGCGGUGAAAUGCGUAGAGAUCGGGAGGAACACCAGAGGCGGAGGCGGCGACCUGGAUAGGUACUGACACUCAACUACGAAAGCGUGGGGAGCAAACAGG
rnacentral:rRNA from 1 species